rnacentral:rRNA from 1 species
UAAAGAGGGUGCGAGCGUUAAUCGGAAUUACUGGGCGUAAAGCGCACGUAGGUGGCGACGUAAGUCGGGUGUGAAAGCCCCGGGCUCAACCUGGGAAUUGCAUUCGAGACUGCAUUGCUGGAGUACGGAAGAGGAGGGCGGAAUUCCCGGUGUAGCGGUGAAAUGCGUAGAUAUCGGGAGGAACAUCAGUGGCGAAGGCGGGCCUCUGGGCCAGUACUGACACUCAAGUGCGAAAGCGUGGGGAGCAAACAGG